UACGUAGGGGGGCAAGCGUUGUCCGGAUUUAUUGGGCGUAAAGAGCGUGUAGGCGGCUUGGUAGGUCCGCUGUGAAAACUCGAGGCUCAACCUCGAGAUGUCGGCGGAAACCACUUGGCUAGAGUCCGGAAGAGGAGAGUGGAAUUCCCGGUGUAGCGGUGAAAUGCGCAGAUAUCGGGAGGAACACCAAUUGCGAAGGCAGCUCGCUGGGACGUUACUGACGCUGAGACGCGAAAGCGUGGGGAGCAAACAGGG
rnacentral:rRNA from 1 species